GCUGAAGGCUUCGGUCCGAUGCAGAAUGAGGAAAGCGGCGAACGGGUGAGUAACGCGUGGGCAACUUGGCCUUAAGAAAAGGAUAGCCCCCGGAAACGGGGAGUAAUACUUUAUGAGAAUAGAAAAGGGCAUCCUGUUUCUAUUCAAAGCGCAAGCGCUUAAGGAUGGGCCCGCUUAUCAUUAGCUAGUUGGUGAGAUAACAGCCCACCAAGGCAACGAUGAUUAGCUCGUUUGAGAGGAUGAUCAGCCACACUGGGACUGAGACACGGCCCAGACUCCUACGGGAGGCAGCAGUGGGGAAUCUUAGACAAUGGGGGAAACCCUGAUCUAGCCAUGCCGCGUGAUCGAUGAAGGCCUUAGGGUUGUAAAGAUCUUUCAGUUGGGAAGAUAAUGACGGUACCAACAGAAGAAGCCCCGGCUAACUCCGUGCCAGCAGCCGCCGUAAGAC
rnacentral:rRNA from 1 species